GUCCACGCCUUUAAUCCCAGCGUUCAGGAGGCAGAGGCAGGCAGAUCUCAGAGUUCGAGGCCAGUCUGGUCUACAGAGUGAAUACCCAUACAAAAUGCCAGGCGGGCAUGCAUCUGUGGCCCCAGCACCAGGGAAGCAGAAACCCAUGGAUCCAUGGAGCUGGUUGGCCUUCCAGUCUAGCCUCAACAGCUGCCUCCGAGAUCAGUGGGCCAGGAGGGAAAUGUUCGUUGUAUGUUAAACAUCCCAUAAUUAAGAACAAAGAAGUAGGUAAAUAUUUACAUUGCUUCUUCAAUUCUAAGAUGAAUUCUCCCUCCCAGCCACCCACUUCCUGCUCAGCAAGGCAAAAACAAAGCAAAUGUAAACCCUAACAAUCUUUGUUUCCCCAGAAAAUUGUGCAAGAGAUACUACAGAUAGGAAAUCUGAACUUUUAGCAUGCUCAGGACUUACAAGCCCAACAAAGAUGGGCUCGGGCACAGGAGCCUACAGACCUGAAGAGCAUGUCAGAUUCCCCAGAACUGGAGUUACAUGCAGUUUUGAGCCGGCACCUGGUGUUAGAAACAGAAUGUGGUUCCUCCACAAAAGGAACACACAUGCUAGCAUGGGAAGGUAGCUGAGCUUAAAAGAGUGACGGCCUAAAGAGACGAGAGGAAAUCAUCUGGAAGGCAUUUCCUCCUCUGCUACUGAGCUGUGGGGCCAGAAAAAGCUACUGCCUGCGUCUGCAUGACUAGCCUCGUGUUCUGUGUGGAUGAGCAUCUGAACCUUAAGCCUUAUCAUCAGCCAGCUUAGGCGCCAAGGCCUUGGCUCCACGGGAAGCUCCCUACCAGGAUUCUAGGAAAGUGCACGCCUUUUCAGAAGGGCACAUUUAAGAGCAAGGAUCGCUCUAGUGCUCUGCACAUGUCUACACACGAGUCUACACGUGCUUGUGGUUUUAUCUAGUUUCCUUGGUACCAAACUGGCUUAGAAUUAAGUGCUAACGUAAGUUAAAAAUCUUAAAUUAAUCCAGAUUGUUUUUAGUUCACAGUGGAACUGGAAUUCAUUUUUUUUUUCAGAUUUAUUUUCAUAUGUAUGUGUUCCACGUGCAUGUAUGUGUUCCACAUGUGUGCCCGGUGCUCAGGGAGGUCAGAGGAGGACAUCCGAGCCCCUGGAACUGGAGUUACAGACAGUUUUAAGCCGCUUUGGCUGGCCUGGACUCACUCUGUAGACCAGGCUGGCCUCGAACUCACCGAGAUCCACCUGCCUCUGCCUCCCAAGGCGCUGGGAUUACAGGCCUGAGCCACUGGGCUCAGCUGGCACUGUAAUUCGAGGAGUGAAAAGAAAAAGCCGGCUCUAACAGUGUCAGCUAAGGCGGCAGGUCCCAUGCAGAAAUCAGUUAAAGGACGGGGCCUGAGAGAUGGCUCGGCUGUUGAGAGCCCUUGGAAGCUGCUCUUCCGAAGGAUUGGCAUUCAGUUCCCAGAACCUGCUCGCAACUGUGUGUAAGCCCAGUUCCAUGGCAGCCGGGUGCCUCUGGCCUGAGGAAACACGCGCACGCCCGCGUGGAGAAACGCAUGAACAUAAUU